rnacentral:rRNA from 1 species
AUUGAACGCUGGCGGCAUGCGUAACACAUGCAAGUCGAACGGUGUUUGGUGCUUGCACCAGACAUAGUGGCGGACGGGUGAGUAAUGCGUAGGAAUCUGUCUUAGAGAGGGGGACAACCCGAGGAAACUUGGGCUAAAACCGCAUAUUCUCGAGAGAGGAAAGCAGGGGACCGGAAACGGCCUUGUGCUCUAAGGUGAGCCUACGUCGGAUUAGCUAGUUGGUAGGGUAAAAGCCUACCAAGGCGAUGAUCUGUAGCUGGUCUGAGAGGACGGACAGCCACACUGGGACUGAGACACGGCCCAGACUCCUACGGGAGGCAGCAGUGGGGAAUA